AUAAAUCUGAAUCCUCAAUUCUUUAGACUAGAAUAAUAACACAUCAAAUCCCCCAAAACUAGCACAUUGCAACCUAAAAGCCAAUUCUUCCAUUACAUCUACAACUACUGCAACUACUAAUGACAACACAGAGUUUGUACAGGAACCUAUUGGAUGAUUACCACAGCAUUACUAGAGAUAGCUUGUUGUUGGAUUGAGAUACGUUCUCCUUCUCUUUCCUCUCAUAUAUCAUUACCAUUACAAGCCGUAAAAUAUGAGCCAAUUGAGUAUUGGCUGAGAAACAUGUGGUCGAGUACCAUUGCACUUAUCAGGAUAUAAAUAGCAAGUUCAAUCUCUUCUCCUUUUCCAUGAAAUCCACCGAAUCUCACUUCUUUUAGCUUAGCGUGAUAUGUAGGAGAUAAGGAAGACCUUAUGUGACUACCUCUUGCAUUUU
rnacentral:lncRNA from 1 species